rnacentral:misc_RNA from 1 species
UAAAUGCGAUAAGUAAUGUGAAUUGCAGAAUUCAGUGAAUCAUCGAAUCUUUGAACGCACCUUGCGCUCCUUGGUAUUCCUUGGAGCAUGCCUGUUUGAGUAUCAUGAAAUCUUCAAAGUAAAUCUUUUGUUAACUCAAUUGGUUUCUACUUUGGUAUUGGAGGUCUUUGCAGCUUCACACCUGCUCCUCUUUGUUCAUUAGCUGGAUCUCAGUGUUAUGCUUGGUUCCACUCGGCGUGAUAAGUUAUCUAUCGCUGAGGACACUGUAAAAGGUGGCCAAGGUAAGUGCAGAUGAACCGCUUCUAAUAGUCCAUUGACUUGGACAAUACUUUUAUGAUCUGAUCUCAAAUCAGGUAGGACUACCCGCUGAACUUAAGC